AAGUUUAGGAUAAUUUAAACCAAGGGCCUUCAAAGCCCUAAACAGAAGGGGCCCUUCUAACUUCUG
rnacentral:tRNA from 1 species